rnacentral:rRNA from 1 species
AGCAGCCGCGGUAAUUCCAGCUCCAAUAGCGUAUAUUAAAGUUGUUGCAGUUAAAAAGCUCGUAGUUGAAUUUUUAGGCCUGGCCGGACGGUCCGUCUCUGGCGAGUACUGUUCUGUCGUCGGGUCUAUCCUUCUGGUAAGCCGGUAUGUUCUUAAUUGGGCGUGCCGGGGAGCUAGGACCAUUACCUUGAAAAAUUAGAGUGUUUAAAGCAGGCUUUUGCUUGAAUAGAUUAGCAUGGAAUAAUAGAAUAGGACGUUGUGGUUCUAUUUUGUUGGUUCAAGGACCACCGUAAUGAUUAAUAGGGAUAGUUGGGGGCAUUAGUAUUCAAUUGUCAGAGGUGAAAUUCUUGGAUUUAUUGAAGACUAACUACUGCGAAAGCAUUUGCCAAGGAUGUUUUCA